GAAGAAUGAUGACAAAGUUUUGGUCCCAUAUGAACGAACGUGAUUAUGGUUUGAGAUCAUUCUGAUUUU